rnacentral:rRNA from 1 species
CCUACGGGAGGCAGCAGCUAAGAAUCUUUCGCAAUGGGCGAAAGCCUGACGAAGCGACGCCGCGUGGAUGAUUAAGGCCUUCGGGUUGUAAAAUCCUUUUAGGGUGGACGAAUAAGGUAUACGUGAAUAAUUUGUACCGAUGACGGUACACUCUGAAUAAGCCCCGGCUAACUACGUGCCAGCAGCCGCGGUAAUACGUAUGGGGCUAGCGUUGUUCGGAUUCAUUGGGCGUAAAGGGCGUGUAGGUGGCUGUAUAAGUUGAAUGUGAAAUCUUCAAGCUCAACUUGGAAACUGCAUUCAAAACUGUAUAGCUUGAGUUUGGGAGAGGAGAAUGGAAUUUCCGGUGUAGGGGUGAAAUCUGUGGAUAUCGGAAAGAACACCAUUGGCGAAGGCGAUUCUCUGGACCAAAACUGACACUGAUACGCGAAAGCCAGGGGAGCAAACAGGAUUAGAUACCCUGGUAGUCCUGGCUGUAAACGAUGAACACUAGGUGUGGGGAGUAUCGACCCUCUCUGUGCCGUAGCUAACGCAUUAAGUGUUCCGCCUGGGGAGUACGUCCGCAAGGAUGAAACUCAAAGGAAUUGACGG